rnacentral:rRNA from 1 species
UACCUGCAGCUCAAGUGGUGGCCGUUAUUAUUGGGCCUAAAACGUCCGUAGCCGGCUUCAUAAAUGCCUGGGUAAAUCGUACGGCUUAACCGUAUGAAUUCCGGGUAGACUGUUUAACUUGAGACCGGGAGAGGCUAGAGGUACUCCUGGGGUAGAGGUGAAAUUCUGUAAUCCUAGGGGGACCACCAGUGGCGAAGGCGUCUAGCUAGAACGGGUCUGACGGUGAGGGACGAAGCCCUGGGGAGCAAACGGGAUUAGAUACCCCGGUAGUCCAGGGUGUAAACGCUGCUCGCUUGAUGUUAGUCGGGCUCCGAGCCCAACUAGUGUCGGAGAGAAGUUGUUAAGCGAGCUGCCUGGGAAGUACGGUCGCAAGACUGAAACUUAAGGGAAUUGGCGGGGAGCACCGCAACGGGUGGAGCGUGCGGUUU